rnacentral:rRNA from 1 species
AGAGUUUGAUCCUGGCUCAGGACAAACGCUGGCGGCGUGCCUAAAACAUGCAAGUCGUACGGUCCUUCGGGACAGUGGCGGACGGCUGAGUAACACGUAGGUGACCUACCCUUGAGCGGGGAAUAACGCUCCGAAAGGAGCGCUAAUACCGCAUACGACCACUGCAUCUCGGUGUGGUGAGGAAAGCCGCAAGGCGCUCGGGGACGGGCCUGCGUCCGAUUAGCUUGUUGGUGAGGUAACGGCUCACCAAGGCGACGAUCGGUAGCUGGUCUAAGAGGAUGAUCAGCCAGACUGGGACUGUGACACGGCCCAGACUCCUACGGGAGGCAGCAGUUAGGAAUCUUGGGCAAUGGGCGAAAGCCUGACCCAGCAACGCCGCGUGGGUGACGAAGGCCUUCGGGUCGUAAAGCCCUUUUGCACGGGAAGAUCAUGACGGUACCGUGCGAAUAAGCCCCGGCUAACUACGUGCCAGCCGCCGCGGUAAUAC